GACGAACGCUGGCGGCGUGCUUAACACAUGCAAGUCGAACGGAAAGGCCCUGCUUUUGUGGGGUGCUCGAGUGGCGAACGGGUGAGUAACACGUGAGUAACCUGCCCUUGACUUUGGGAUAACUUCAGGAAACUGGGGCUAAUACCGGAUAGGAGCUCCUGCUGCAUGGUGGGGGUUGGAAAGUUUCGGCGGUUGGGGAUGGACUCGCGGCUUAUCAGCUUGUUGGUGGGGUAGUGGCUUACCAAGGCUUUGACGGGUAGCCGGCCUGAGAGGGUUAACGGCCACCAUGGUACUGAGGUACGGCGCAGACUGCUACGGGAGGCAGCAGUGGGGAAUAUGGCACAGUGGGCGGAAGCCUGAUGCAGAAACGCCGCGUGCGGGAUGACGGCCUUCGGGUUGUAAACCGCUUUCGCCUGUGACGAAGCGUGAGUGACGGUAAUGGGUAAAGAAGCACCGGCUAACUACGUG
rnacentral:rRNA from 1 species